rnacentral:rRNA from 1 species
GAGUUUGAUCCUGGCUCAGAUUGAGCGCUGGCGGCAGGCCUAACACAUGCAAGUCGAACGGUAACAGAAAGCAGCUUGCUGCUUUGCUGACGAGUGGCGGACGGGUGAGUAAUGUCUGGGAAACUGCCUGAUGGAGGGGGAUAACUACUGGAAACGGUAGCUAAUACCGCAUAACGUCGCAAGACCAAAGAGGGGGACCUUCGGGCCUCUUGCCAUCGGAUGUGCCCAGAUGGGAUUAGCUUGUUGGUGGGGUAACGGCUCACCAAGGCGACGAUCUCUAGCUGGUCUGAGAGGAUGACCAGCCACACUGGAACUGAGACACGGUCCAGACUCCUACGGGAGGCAGCAGUGGGGAAUAUUGCACAAUGGGCGCAAGCCUGAUGCAGCCAUGCCGCGUGUAUGAAGAAGGCCUUCGGGUUGUAAAGUACUUUCAGCGGGGAGGAAGGGAGUAAAGUUAAUACCUUUGCUC